UCAACCUCCAGUCAUUAGGCCUCCAGUCUGGUGAUGACUUUAUUCCCUGAAAUUUCUACUGUAGUUCUGCCGAGCUCAAAUAACGUUUAUAGAGCAGUACAGAGCUAUGCUGAUAAUCAACGAAACAAUAAAUCAAGCCCUGACUUGAUUUGUCAAUUCUGAGGUAUAAAUGCUCACACGGAAAAUUUAACAAGCAGCUCUGGAAAGCCAGUUAGAGCUAACUCCAGAGCACUAUCCUGAUUGGCCGGAUAGUGUGUUGACCUUGGCUACCUCGGUGUCAUACAGCUUCUUUAUUGUCUGCUUGAUCUGAUGUUUGUUGGCCUCGAUCUCCACAAUGAAGACUUGGGUGUUGUUGUCCUCAAUCUUCUUCCUAGCAGACCCAGUGGUGAAGGGGAACUUAAUAAUGUCAUGGUGAUUAAGCUUGUUUCUCUGUGGGGCGCUUUUCUGAGGGUAUUUGGGCUGCCCUUGAAAUUUUAGUGUCUUGGGUUGCCGGAAGGUGGGGGGUGUUCAGAUUUUCUUCUUUUUGUGACUAUGGACACCCUUCAACACCACCUUCAUGGCCUUCAAGGCCUUGGACUGGGCUUCUGACUUGGGUGGAGGGGAGGGACAACGGCUUCCUUCUUCACCUUCGGGCGCCAUCUGGGGGAAAGGCUAUCUCCCCCUUUAAGAAGGAAGCUUCUUAAGGGAGAGGGACUGUCUCACUUUUGUAUUUGUAUCUCCCCUCACCCAAUGCUGCUUGGCAC